AAAGCAGCCAAUCACUCCCUUGGUUUUCUGGGCAUGUAUCUUGUACAGUGAUCCUCAUCCAUGUGAGCGAGUAGAUCCUGAAGUUUUCACUGUAGGAUUUACCUCUGAGAGCAGUGAUGCUCCAGGGCCUCUUGGCAUCUCUUUUCUCCGUGUGUAAGCUCCGUGCUUAUGCAGCGUUAGGUGUCCUGCACGUGAAGGGAAUCAGACCCAAAUGCUUUUAUUCACAUCUCCAGUGAGAAAUGUCUCCAGUGCCCAUGAGGAGCAGCUGCCUGGUGAUUCGGUUCCCUACAGCUUACACAUGUUCCUGUGAUGCACCACCAGUCCUGCAGCUGGCUUGUGUUGGCUUGACACUUGUUGGUGCUUCCUGGCCAUUGUCAUCCUCUGUCUUUACAGCAACGUAUGAUGCGUCAUUGAUGGGUGAAAUACAGAAAAGCCAGUUCAGCCUUUGGAAGGAGUCAGAAGAAUCUGUGGAGUUUGGCAAUGGAAAGAAAACUCAAACUCACCCCUAUGAACGGGUCUUUAAAAAGGAAUGGCUAAAUGAAGGAGGAAGUCCCGCACUGAUGGAACAGGUCAUUGCUCGUGUUCCAGGACAGAAAGAUCCCCGGAACAGAAAUCAUCGGAGAGAGUGGAGCCACCAAAGGCCUCCCUGCCUGCUCCAUUAAUGGCACACCCAGCACUUGCAGUGAUGUGACGUUCUGCCAUCCAAAGGGGAAUUAAUCGCUGAGUGGCAUGAAGAGCGCACAGCACAGACAGCAGGCAUGGUCCAGACCUCAAGGGACUCAUUAUGUUCUUAAAGGGUAAGAAAAUAAUCCGAGGUGCAUUGGGAAGCAUGUGUCUUAGUAACGCUCCAUAAUGCUCGUGUUCCCAGCGUUACUGGCAAAUCUCCAAUAUUUGUCCCUUAAAACAGAGACUUUCAAAGAUACGAAGAUACUUAUUGACCUUAAAAAAAAUAUCAGCAAGAAGCUCAAGAGAAUAUGUUAAAUGUACAAACUUGUUUGAGUUAUAAGAAGUGUCAUGGCAUACACUGUGAUGUGGCAGUGAGUGAGUGUGAACUGAUAUUGGAGGAGGGAGCCCAUGAAAGAGAUAGUGAAGAGGAAAGGUGUUUGAAUCUGCUUAUGGAAGUAGCAGGAUUUGGGUUGGGGAACUAUUCCAUGCACAGAGUGAACCACAGGACAAGUCAGAGGUCCAGCAACAUGUAGCCACUGUCAGGAAGAAGACAACGUGACACCGGAUCCAAAACUGGUGGCAGGCUGUGGUUAUCCCAGACUCCAGCUGCCUGCGUUUGUGGUGACCUGCAAAGAGAUCUCCAAGAGAUAGCUGCGUUUUUCUGUCAGAAGUGAGAAGCUGCUGCUCUUGGCUCACGCUGUGUUAGGAGCAACGUGCAGCUCCCAGCAGAACCCCCGCUGAAUUGGCAGAUGGCGGCUGCUCGGGAGACCGGAGCGUAGCCUGGAGGGAACAUUGUCUGCCAAGGGCAUGGCGGGGACAUUGGGCUUUGGGAGGGCUGCCAAGCAGUGCCUGUGUGCAUCUCCUUGUCCUGCAGCCAGGUGUGGUUGCAACCAAUCCUAUGGGCAGCAGCAGGACUUCCAUCUGCGGCCAAAUACCUUUGCUAGCUGCAGGAAGGACUUUCAACCAAGAAGGUGAGACGUUAACAGCACUUCUAAAUGGUUACAGCUCUCACAGGUGAAGGGCAUUGGCUCAGCUGGGUGCAGGAAGCUUCCCUUCUUCUUGCUGAGGCCAUUGAAACAGGUUUGAGCUUGGGAAAAGGCAGAUGCCCAUACCUUCCUUACUGGCUGCCCAUCUCGCUUCCCAGCAAGACCUCAACUGUGUGUGCACCAGGAAAGCAAAGAAGAAAGGUCUUCACAAAUAAAGCUCUAAGAACGUAAAACUGGUACCUGGAG
rnacentral:lncRNA from 1 species